UAUAGGGCAAGUAAUACACAUUAAUGGUAUAAAGGAUACGUAGAAUGGUAUAUUAAAUUUUAUAUGUAAAAAUAUAUAAUUUAUAAAAAUACUAGGAUAAUUUUAAAUAUUAUAACCAUUAUAUUAGUAACAGUUAAAUGUGAUGAUCAAUAUAAGAGUAACAGUAUAUGAAAAUAUAUAAUAUAGAAUUAUCGACAUUGAGGUAUGAAAACUUGGUUAUCGAGUUGGAGUAGUCAACCAAUUAGUCCAAGUCGUAAACUAUGUGCAUUGAUACAAAUUAAUAAUAAUAAUUAUUUUUAUAUGUAUAUAAUUCCCCCAGAGGGGUAUAUUUAUAAGAAUAUUUUAUAUUAAAAAUUGUAGUAAAUUAAUACUAUAAUGCACCACCAGAGAAGUACUAUUAAAGAUAGAAACUCAAAACAAUAGACUGUGUGACCUUUUAA
rnacentral:rRNA from 1 species